rnacentral:rRNA from 1 species
UACGAAGGGUGCAAGCGUUACUCGGAAUUCCUGGGCGUAAAGCGUGCGUAGGUGGUUUGUUAAGUCUGAUGUGAAAGCCCUGGGCUCAACCUGGGAAUUGCAUUGGAUACUGGCAGGCUAGAGUGCGGUAGAGGAUGGCGGAAUUCCCGGUGUAGCAGUGAAAUGCGUAGAGAUCGGGAGGAACAUCUGUGGCGAAGGCGGCCAUCUGGACCAGCACUGACACUGAGGCACGAAAGCGUGGGGAGCAAACAGG